rnacentral:rRNA from 1 species
UACGUAGGGGGCAAGCGUUGUCCGGAAUCAUUGGGCGUAAAGAGCGUGUAGGCGGCUCGGUAAGUCCGCUGUAAAAGUCCAGGGCUCAACCCUGGAAAGCCGGUGGAAACUGUCGAGCUAGAGUCCGGAAGAGGCGAGUGGAAUUCCUGGUGUAGCGGUGAAAUGCGCAGAUAUCAGGAGGAACACCAAUGGCGAAGGCAGCUCGCUGGGACGGUACUGACGCUGAGACGCGAAAGCGUGGGGAGCAAACGGG